rnacentral:misc_RNA from 1 species
GAUGAAGAACGCAGCGAAAUGCGAUAAGUAAUGUGAAUUGCAGAAUUCAGUGAAUCAUCGAAUCUUUGAACGCACAUUGCGCCCGCCAGUAUUCUGGCGGGCAUGCCUGUUCGAGCGUCAUUACAACCCUCAGGCCCCCGGGCCUGGCGUUGGGGAUCGGCGGAGCCCCCCGUGGGCACACGCCGUCCCCCAAAUGCAGUGGCGGUCCCGCCGCAGCUUCCAUCGCGUAGUAGCUAACACCUCGCGACUGGAGAGCGGCGCGGCCACGCCGUAAAACACCCAACUCUUCUGAAGUUGACCUCGAAUCAGGUAGGAAUACCCGCUGAACUUAAGCAUAUCAAUAAGCGGAGUA